CACGAAAGUUUUUCUGUUUUUAAAAAACACUCAAGGAAAUUGAAUUUGUAGUGAAGAUGCUAUAUUUAAGUUGUUAGACGAGAAGUCCCCAUGGAGCUUUACUGAAAGCUUAAAAAAAAAAUUAUUUCUUUAUAAGCUAGACAGUUUUGUUGGGGAGAUAGUUUUUUAAAAAGUAACGAAAACGAACUAUGACGCAUGUUUCACCUUGAAAAUUUGAAGGGGCAUUUUGGGUGUGUUUAAUGAUCUAUUAUUUUGAGUGAAAAAGAUAAUGAAAGCA
rnacentral:rRNA from 1 species